AGUGCACUUCUUUUGACCACAAUAUCAGUCUGGGAAACAAAGAUUUCACUUUUACUUUCAGAGGACAUUAUAAAAAGAUCUUGGCUGCAUUUGACAACAAAGAAUCAUAAAAAGGAGAAUAUGGCAGCUCUUAGGAGGAAGGAUGGAGAAAAUCAUAAGUACAAUCUGUGUCUCCUGUAACAGCUCCUCUGACAUUGGCUCUGUUGUAGCAGCUGAGAUGUGAGGAUUCAUGGAGUUG
rnacentral:lncRNA from 1 species